AUUAGCUAGUUGGCGGGGCAACGGCCCACCAAGGCGACGAUCGGUAGCCGGCCUGAGAGGGUGAUCGGCCACAUUGGGACUGAGAUACGGCCCAGACUCCUACGGGAGGCAGCAGUAGGGAAUAUUGCACAAUGGGGGAAACCCUGAUGCAGCAACGCCACGUGUGGGAAGAAGCAUUUCGGUGUGUGGACCACUGUCAUGAGGGAAUAAGGCCCGUUCUCGGACGGGAUUGAAUGUACCUUGAGAGGAAGCACCGGCCAACUUCGUGCCAGCAGCCGCGGUAAUACGAGGGGUGCAAGCGUUGUUCGGAAUUACUGGGCGUAAAGGGAGCGUAGGCGGAGAUUCAAGCGGAUUGUACAAUCCCGGGGCCCAACCCCGGCUCUGCAGUCCGAACUGGAUCUCUUGGA
rnacentral:rRNA from 1 species